rnacentral:rRNA from 1 species
CGGGACGGGUGAGUAAUGUCUGGGAAACUGCCUGAUGGAGGGGGAUAACUACUGGAAACGGUAGCUAAUACCGCAUAACGUCGCAAGACCAAAGAGGGGGACCUUCGGGCCUCUUGCCAUCGGAUGUGCCCAGAUGGGAUUAGCUAGUAGGUGGGGUAACGGCUCACCUAGGCGACGAUCCCUAGCUGGUCUGAGAGGAUGACCAGCCACACUGGAACUGAGACACGGCCAG